UACGUAGGGGGCAAGCGUUGUCCGGAUUUAUUGGGCGUAAAGAGCGUGUAGGCGGCCGUACAGGUCAGCUGUGAAAACUCGAGGCUCAACCUCGAGACGCCGAUGGAAACCAUCUGGCUAGAGUCCGGAAGAGGAGAGUGGAAUUCCUGGUGUAGCGGUGAAAUGCGCAGAUAUCAGGAAGAACACCCGUGGCUAAGGCGGCUCUCUAGUACGGUACUGACGCUGAGACGCGAAAGCGUGGGGAGCGAACAGG
rnacentral:rRNA from 1 species